rnacentral:ncRNA from 21 species
CAGGAAGCCCGUGCGAAUCGGGUGCUGUCCCGCAACUGUGAGCGAACUCCCGCAGCCGAUCGCCGGGAGCCGCGAGCCAGGAACUG